UCCCUGUGUUGAGGAAGAUAAUGACGGUACUCAACAAGGAAGUGACGGCUAACUACGUGCCAGCAGCCGCGGUAAAACGUAGGUCACAAGCGUUGUCCGGAAUUACUGGGUGUAAAGGGAGCGCAGGCGGGAGAACAAGUUGGAAGUGAAAUCCAUGGGCUCAACCCAUGAACUGCUUUCAAAACUGUUUUUCUUGAGUAGUGCAGAGGUAGGCGGAAUUCCCGGUGUAGCGGUGGAAUGCGUAGAUAUCGGGAGGAACACCAGUGGCGAAGGCGGCCUACUGGGCACCAACUGACGCUGAGGCUCGAAAGUGUGGGUAGCAAACAGGAUUAGAUACCCUGGUAGUCCACACCGUAAACGAUGAUUACUAGGUGUUGGAGGAUUGACCCCUUCAGUGCCGCAGUUAACACAAUAAGUAAUCCACCUGGGGAGUACGACCGCAAGGUUGAAACUCAAAGGAAUUGACGGGGGCCCGCACAAGCAGUGGAGUAUGUGGUUUAAUUCGACGCAACGCGAAGAACCUUACCAAGUCUUGACAUCCCUUGACGAUGCUGGAAACAGCAUUUCUCUUCGGAGCAAGGAGACAGGUGGUGCAUGGUUGUCGUCAGCUCGUGUCGUGAGAUGUUGGGUUAAGUCCCGCAACGAGCGCAACCCUUAUGGUCAGUUACUACGCAAGAGGACUCUGGCCAGACUGCGGUUGACAAA
rnacentral:rRNA from 1 species